rnacentral:rRNA from 1 species
GCCAACGGCCAUAGGGGGUUGGAAACACCCGAACCCAUUUCGAACUCGGAAGUUAAGCGGCUCCACGGCCUUGUCUGUACUGCUCUAUGAGCGGAAAAACGGGCUGCUGUUGGCA